rnacentral:rRNA from 1 species
GAUGAACGCUAGCGGCAGGCUUAACACAUGCAAGUCGAGGGGUAUAAGGUGCUUGCACCUUAGAGACCGGCGCACGGGUGCGUAACGCGUAUGCAAUCUGCCUUUCACAAAGGGAUAGCCCAGAGAAAUUUGGAUUAAUACCUUAUAGUAUAUUGAUGUGGCAUCGCAUUAUUAUUAAAGAUUUAUCGGUGAAAGAUGAG